rnacentral:miRNA from 10 species
CAGCUGCUAGCUGUGCUCCACA